rnacentral:tRNA from 1 species
UGCCGGAUGGUGUAACGGUAGCACGAAGGACUCUGAAUCCUUUAGUCUAGGUUCGAAUCCUAGUCCGGCAGCCA